GACAGAGGAUGCAAGCGUUACUCCGGAAUUGAUUUGGGGUACGGUAAAGCGUCUGUAGGUGGCCUUUUUAAGUCUGGCCGAUCAAAUCCCAGGGGCUUAACCCUACGGACCAGGUCGGAUGGAAACUACCGAAGCUGGAGUGACGGUAGGGGCAGAGGGAAUUUCCGGUGGAGCGGUGAAAUGACGUAGAGAUCGGAAAGAACACCAACGGCGAAAGCACUCUGCUGGGCCCGGACCACUGACACUGAAGAGACGAAAAGCUAGGGGGAGCGAAUGGG
rnacentral:rRNA from 1 species